rnacentral:rRNA from 1 species
AUUGAACGCUGGCGGCAUGCCUUACACAUGCAAGUCGAACGGUAACAGGUUAAGCUGACGAGUGGCGAACGGGUGAGUAUUCAGUGGCACGUGGCCAAUAGGGGGGGAAAGUCCGGCGAAAGCCGGGAUAAUACCUCAAACGACCUAAGGGUGAAAGGGGGGGAUUGCAAGACCUCUCGCUAUUUGGGUGUCCGAUGUCCGAUUAGCUAGUUGGUGGGGUAAAAGCUCACCAAGGCGACGAUCGGCAGCCGGUCUGAGGGGACGACCAGCCACACUGGGACUGAGACACGGCCCAGACUCCUACGGGAGGCAGCAGUGGGGAAUUUUGGACAAUGGGCGCAAGCCUGAUCCAGCCAUGCCGCGUGCGGGAAGAAGGCCUUCGGGUUGUAAACCGCUUUUGUCAGGGAAGAAAUCCUUUGGGUUAAUACCUCGGGGGGAUGACGGUACCUGAAGAAUAAGCACCGGCUAACUACGUG